rnacentral:ncRNA from 1 species
GUUUCAGGGCGGGGUGCAAUUCCCCACUGGCGGUAUCGGGUGAGGCCCGUAAGUCCGCGAACCGCGCGAGCGGCCGAUCUGGUGCGAUUCCAGAACCAACGGUUACAGUCCGGAUGGAAGAAA